GGGUGCUUGGCGCAAUGGCUAGCGUGUUUGGCUUCGAUGCUUAAUAAUGUACCAAAAGGUUGCAGGUUCGAGUCCUGCAGUGCUCA